GAUGAACGCUAGCUACAGGCUUAACACAUGCAAGUCGAGGGGCAGCAUGAUUGAAGCUUGCUUCAAUCGAUGGCGACCGGCGCACGGGUGAGUAACACGUAUCCAACCUGCCGAUAACUCGGGGAUAGCCUUUCGAAAGAAAGAUUAAUACCCGAUAGUAUAGUAUUUCCGCAUGGUUUCACUAUUAAAGAACUUCGGUUAUCGAUGGGGAUGCGUUCCAUUAGAUAGUUGGCGGGGUAACGGCCCACCAAGUCAACGAUGGAUAGGGGUUCUGAGAGGAAGGUCCCCCACAUUGGAACUGAGACACGGUCCAAACUCCUACGGGAGGCAGAAGUGAGGAAUAUUGGUCAAUGGACGAGAGUCUGAACCAGCCAAGUAGCGUGAAGGAUGACUGCCCUAUGGGUUGUAAACUUCUUUUAUACGGGAAUAAAGUGGAGUAUGCAUACUCCUUUGUAUGUACCGUAUGAAUAAGGAUCGGCUAACUCCGUG
rnacentral:rRNA from 1 species